rfam:Schistosoma mansoni strain Puerto Rico chromosome 6, complete genome
AGCCUUUUGUAUCCGCGUCUAGAUUUCGAUAGACACCAGACCACCACUACUGAUGAGACUCCCUAGAUAAGUGGGGCG